CUGCCAGGCUUCCUGGGAGAAGGGUGGGACAAGGGAAGCUGCCACUUUGUCUUUUGGUCUCAAGACAGCCCCAGCUUCAACAGGGAACUUCACAUCUGCAAGGGGAGGAGCUCUGUCACGAUCACCAGCCCAUCACAUCAUCAACGGUCACUGGCAACAUGAGCGCCAACAUCCCCAUCAGCACCAAAGACAGGGGCACUGCUGUCAACGAUGCAGUCUUCCAAUCGCCAUGGCUGAGGAACACCACCACCUUCAUCAAUCACCGAUACUGACGGCCCCGGCUUUCUCCCAAACUCGGCCACUGCCACCAUCAUCAGCCAAACUGCAGCCAUUCCGGUCACUGCCAUCAUCGGCAGUCACCAACCCUGACCCCCGUCAUUAUCACAAACACGGCCACUGCCACCAUCACCCACCCAACCACCAUCACCUGUCACCAUCAUCACUGCCACUGUCAUCAUCACAUUGGUCAUGAUGAACGCCCUCAUCGUCUCCAAAACCACACCAACAUCACCAGCUGUAUCCCUGGGCGUGUUAUUCGACUUCUCAAUUUCCUACAGAACGGUGACAACAGCACCUAAUUCACAAGACUGUUGGGAGAAUUUGGGGACUUGACAGGUGGAAAAUGCUUGGAGGACAGCGUCCGGCACGUAACAAGACCAAUUUGUUACCAUUGCUAUCUCUACUCUCACCCCACCAUGAUCAACACCAUCCCCAUCGCCGGGUCAAAACCUUCCUGUCGCCAUCAUCCCCAUUGUGGCCACCAUCAGCACCAUCACCAGACAGGCACACUGUAAUUGCAAGGGUCCCAUCUCCCAGCCUCCAGGCACAUGCACUGGUGGCCCUAUUCUAGACAGCGACAGGCACUCCUGUGACCAAUCAAGAAGCUCCAGAACCCCAAGGAGAUUCUCUCCUGGGGCCCCUGGGGGGACAUGGAUGUUCACUGCAGCAGCAUUUACGGAGGUGGCCUGGAUGGCUGUGUGGUGGCCGCACCACAGGGAGUCCUGUGCAGAAGUAAUGGAGCAGACAGAAUGGACAGAUCUUUAAAAGCAUAGGGCUAAGUGGAAAAAAGAGAAGGAAGAUCCAGAAUGAGAUCUACAAGACAGAGCCAUCUACAUAAAUUAAAAGUACUUGUACAGAGUG